rnacentral:rRNA from 1 species
UACGGGGGGGUAAGCGUUGUUCGGAAUUACUGGGCGUAAAGGGCUCGUAGGCGGCCAACUAAGUCAGACGUGAAAUCCCUCAGCUUAACUGGGGAACUGCGUCUGAUACUGGAUGGCUUGGAUUCGGGAGAGGAAUGCGGAAUUCCAGGUGUAGCGGUGAAAUGCGUAGAUAUCUGGAGGAACACCGGUGGCGAAGGCGGCAUUCUGGACCGACAUUGACGCUGAGGAGCGAAAGCCAGGGGAGCAAAGCGGGG